rnacentral:lncRNA from 1 species
GUUAGGUUGAUGUUAGGAUGCUGUUAGGUUGCUGUUAGGCUGCUGUUAGGUUGCUGUUAGGUUGCUGUUAGGCUGCUCAUGGGCUGCUGUUAGGUUGCUGUUAGGUUGCUAUUAGAAUGCUGUUAGGAUGCUGUUAGGUUGCUGUUAAUUUGCUGUUAGGAUGCUGUUAGGUUGCUGUUAGGCUGCUGUUAGGCUGCUGUUAGGAUGCUGUUAGGUUGCUUUCCAGAUGCUGUUCAGAUGCUGUUCAGACACUGUUAGGAUGCUGUUAGGAUGCUGUUAGGCUUAUUUUAGGCUGCUGUUGGGAUGCUGUUAGGCUGCUGUUAGGAUGCUGUUAGGAUGCUGUUAGGAUACUGUUCAGAUGCUGUUAGGAUGCUGUUAUGCCUGCUGUUAGGCUGCUGUUAGAUUGCUGUUAGGAUGCUGUUAGGAUGCUGUUAUGCCUGCUGUUAGGCUGCUGUUAGAUUGCUGUUAGAAUGCUGUUAGGAUGCUGUUAUGCCUGCUGUUAGGAUAUUGUUAGGAUGCUGUUAGGAUGCUGUUAUGCCUGCUGUUAGGCUGCUGUUAGAUUGCUGUUAGAAUGCUGUUAGGAUGCUGUUAUGCCUGC